GACGGUUUGAUAAUGAGAAGAUGUUCACCAACACUUGUGCCAUAUUAGACGUGUUAUUUUGGGUAAGAUGAUGGGAUGUUACUGCGUUGCUUAAUGUUAUAUUGAUGAUAUUUUAUAUUGUAUAUAUUUCAUUAUUUGGCAGUCAUCCAUCAAAGGGCGUUAUCCCAUAUGGAGGGCAUCUCGUAGCACAUAUUCAUGUGAUGCGACCCUUUGUAACUAUGUGCGUGGGAGGUCACCCAAACCUAGCGUGUCGUGGCGGAUAUGUGAUUAUGUGUACAUCCCUGUCAACAAUGGAGGCGCGCAUUGGUUGGCAGCAUGUGUGGACUUGAAGGCCCGGCAUAUUGAUUUAUACGAUCCAAAUAUGGGAAAUAAAUAUGUCCAGAAUAGAGAGUUGAAGAAUGCGGAAUGCCUUACGUAUAUGCUGCCUUACCUAUUGAGGGAUGGGGGAUAUUACGGGAAGAAUCCGAACGUGUCUCCCACUUUAGAUCCAUUCACGAUGACCAUGAUCAAAGAUGCACCCCGCCAAGAUAAUGGGGGUGAUUGUGGCGUCUACGCUCUGAAAUUUAUUGAGUACAUGAGUAGUGAGGAGAACCCUUCAUUUGGUCCGCAAGACAUUAUGUUUUUUAGAAAAAAAUAUGCUGUUGAUUUGUACUUUAAUAAACUUUCAAUGUAGAUCGUAUGUUUAA